GGGCGGUUAGCUCAGCUGGUUAGAGCGCCACGUUGACAUCGUGGAGGUCACAGGUUCGAUUCCCGUAUCGCCCACCA
rnacentral:tRNA from 1 species